UACGGGGGGGGCAAGCGUUGUUCGGAAUUACUGGGCGUAAAGGGCGCGUAGGCGGCCUUCUAAGUCGGACGUGAAAUCCCUCGGCUUAACCGAGGAGCUGCGUCCGAUACUGAAAGGCUUGAAUCCGGGAGAGGGAUGUGGAAUUCCUGGUGUAGCGGUGAAAUGCGCAGAUAUCAGGAGGAACACCGGUGGCGAAGGCGGUGAUCUGGGCCGGCACUGACGCUGAGGAGCGAAAGCGUGGGUAGCAAACAGG
rnacentral:rRNA from 1 species